rnacentral:rRNA from 1 species
UUCCGACCUGCACGAAUGGCGUAAUGAUGGCCACGCUGUCUCCACCCAAGACUCAGUGAAAUUGAAAUCGCUGUUAAGAUGCAGUGUACCCGCGGCUAGACGGAAAGUCCCCGUGAACCUUUACUACAGCUUUACACUGGACUUUGAACUUAUUUGUGUAGGAUAGGUGGGAGACUGUGAAACCGGUGCGCUAGCGUCGGUGGAGUCAUCCUUGAAAUACCACCCUGAUGUUGUUGAGGUUCUAACCUAGGUCCAUAAUCUGGAUCGGGGACCGUGUAUGGUGGGCAGUUUGACUGGGGCGGUCUCCUCCUAAAGAGUAACGGAGGAGCACGAAG